rnacentral:rRNA from 1 species
UACGGGGGGAGCAAGCGUUGUUCGGAUUUACUGGGCGUAAAGGGCGCGUAGGCGGCGUGACAAGUCACUUGUGAAAUCUCCGGGCUUAACCCGGAGCGGCCAAGUGAUACUGUCGUGCUAGAGUGCGGAAGGGGCUACUGGAAUUCUCGGUGUAGCGGUGAAAUGCGUAGAUAUCAGGAGGAACACCGGUGGCGAAGGCGGGUCUCUGGGCCGAUACUGACGCUGAGGAGCGAAAGCGUGGGGAGCGAACAGG